rnacentral:rRNA from 1 species
UACAGAGGUCUCAAGCGUUUGUUCGGAUUCAUUGGGCGUAAAGGGUGCGUAGGCGGCGCGGUAAGUCGGGUGUGAAAUCUUGGAGCUUAACUCCGAAACUGCAUUCGAUACUGCCGUGCUUGAGGACUGGAGAGGAGACUGGAAUUUACGGUGUAGCGGUGAAAUGCGUAGAUAUCGUAAGGAAGACCAGUGGCGAAGGCGGGUCUCUGGACAGUUCCUGACGCUGAGGCACGAAGGCCAGGGGAGCAAAACGGG